rnacentral:lncRNA from 1 species
UCCUUGAUGACUAUGUAAUUGUUCAACAAUGUCCAAAAUGCAAGAAAUUUGAACCCCUUUUACCAAAAGACUCAACCUUUAACUAGGGAUACACACAAAAAGAGAUAAAAUCAAAAACCAAUAAAGACUCAAACUUUCUUAUUAUCUUUCAGAAACCCAAACAGAGCAUUACCUAAACAGUGAAAUAGGAAAUGCCCAAUUUGAAAUUGAUCCAAAUUACCUUAAAAAUGCUAAAGCUAGAAGAUCAAGAAGCUGAAUAAAUCUUCAAAGGUUCAAUCUUUUUUGGAAAAUUUUCAAGAAUGUGAGAAGUGAGAAUAAUUUUGGGGGGCACCGGGGCUAAUUUUUUUUCAACAAUAGUGUGGAUUCUUUACCAGUAGAAAGAAUCAAAAAGCAAAAUGGUCAAUGAAGAAAAGCUUAUAUAAUUACUUACAUGGCAUGGAAGGAUUUUUUUAUUUUUUUUAAUAUAAUUAUUAUUAUUAUCCUCCCUGCAUUUCCCGGAAUUGGAUAUCGGAAAAUUCAAAGUUGUAUCCGGUUUAUUCGCCGGUUUUUAAAAGUUUUCCGAUAGAAAUGUCGAUGAGGGAGAAAGAGAAGGUGAAGAGUGGAAUAAGCGGAAUUAUAGCCGUUGC